rnacentral:rRNA from 1 species
AAAGUUUUAAUGGUCGAACAGACCAAAUAAUUAAAAUUCUCCUCCUAAUAUAAACUUUAAUCCAACAUCGAGGUCGCAAUCUCUUUUUUCGAUUUGAACUCUAAAAAAAAAUAACG